rnacentral:rRNA from 2 species
UACGUAUGUCACAAGCGUUAUCCGGAUUUAUUGGGCGUAAAGCGCGUCUAGGUGGUUAUAUAAGUCUGAUGUGAAAAUGCAGGGCUCAACUCUGUAUUGCGUUGGAAACUGUGUAACUAGAGUACUGGAGAGGUAAGCGGAACUACAAGUGUAGAGGUGAAAUUCGUAGAUAUUUGUAGGAAUGCCGAUGGGGAAGCCAGCUUACUGGACAGAUACUGACGCUGAAGCGCGAAAGCGUGGGUAGCAAACAGG